rnacentral:tRNA from 1 species
UAAUAAGAAGUGAAAACUCACGUUUAGUUUCGACCUAAAUACUUGAUCGUCUAGAUCCUUAUUA